GACGAACGCUGGCGGCGUGCUUAACACAUGCAAGUCGAGCGGAAGGGCCACUUCGGUGGUACUCGAGCGGCGAACGGGUGAGUAACACGUGAGCAAUCUGCCCCGAACUCUGGGAUAAGCGUUGGAAACGACGUCUAAUACCGGAUACGACGCGCGAAGGCAUCUUCUGCGCGUGGAAAGAAUUUCGGUUCGGGAUGAGCUCGCGGCCUAUCAGCUAGUUGGUGAGGUAACGGCUGACCAAGGCGACGACGGGUAGCCGGCCUGAGAGGGUGACCGGCCACACUGGGACUGAGACACGGCCCAGACUCCUACGGGAGGCAGCAGUGGGGAAUAUUGCACAAUGGGCGCAAGCCUGAUGCAGCAACGCCGCGUGAGGGACGACGACCUUCGGGUUGUAAACCUCUUUUAGCAGGGAAGAAGCGAAAGUGACGGUACCUGCAGAAAAAGCACCGGCUAACUACGUGCCAGCAGCCGCCGUAAUAC
rnacentral:rRNA from 1 species